rnacentral:rRNA from 1 species
UACGAAGGGUGCAAGCGUUACUCGGAAUUACUGGGCGUAAAGCGUGCGUAGGUGGUUUUUUAAGUCCGUUGUGAAAGCCCUGGGCUCAACCUGGGAAUGGCAGUGGAUACUGGAAAGCUAGAGUGCGGUAGAGGGUAGUGGAAUUCCCGGUGUAGCAGUGAAAUGCGCAGAUAUCGGGAGGAACACCAAUGGCGAAGGCAGCUCGCUGGGACGUGACUGACGCUGAGACGCGAAAGCGUGGGGAGCAAACGGGG